rnacentral:lncRNA from 1 species
AAUUUCAUUUUUUAAAUUACUAAUUUCUUCUUGUAAAUCUUUAAUAGAAACAGUUUUUUCAACCGGUUUCUUAAAUAAAUCCAUAACAUUUUUAAAUUCUACUUUGUGAAUAUUCUUUUUGGAAAUAUCAUUUUCAUCUAUAAUAUUUUUAAUUUGUCUCAUGAAAGCAUUCUUACUUUCUGAAUUUUCCAUUUUGUCUAAUAUUCCUAUCAAAGUAUUAGCUUGAUUAUUUGUUAAAACAUUAAUUAUUUUAUUACAAUUGUCACAAUUACAGAAAUCUAGGCCUAAACAUUCAUCAGAAUCAUCAUCCGAUUUUUCAGAAUUGUCAAUUUGAUGUAUUUCUUCGUAAGAAGAUUCUUCAGAU